rnacentral:lncRNA from 1 species
CCCAGCUGCUACAGCGCGCGCCCGCGCCUCACGUGAGCGCGCGGGGCGGGGCCGAGGCCCUGGAGGGGUGGGGCGGGGGCGGGGGGCGGGUGGGAGGUGGGGCCUGAGCGAAGGAGCGGAUCCCCAGAGCCCAGGGCCUGUCAGGGGUUGGAUAGGCUGGGCUUGACGGUGCCUGGGAGCGGGAGGAGGGGGCGGCACUGAGUCGGAAGGGCGGGGCCUGAGGCUGCCGAGAGCCGAGGGAAGGGGCGGGGCUAUGCGGAAUGGGCGUAGACCCGGAGGGAGGCGGAGCCUUGCCCCUAUCCUGUCUGUCCAAUUUUCCCUCCCUCCAGAUGGAAGCACCGAUGGCAGAAUAUUAACUAUCAAUUUCUGGGCAAGAGGAAGAGACAUCUAGUUCCCCUGCGCCCGUGAGAGCCGGUGAGGGGCGGGGCCAAGAGAGGGCGCGGCCGAUAGGGGCGGGACCCCUGGGGAAAGCGGUUCCAGAGGCGGGGCCUAGCGGUGAGGUGGGGGAAGAGCAAGGUGUGAGCACCUAGUGGGUCCUCAGCAGCCGCUCCCUCCCAGGCUCCAGGACCUGGAGGGGUUGAGCCACGAUGCGAAGGGCCCCUAGGGCGGCUGUGGGACUCUGCGGGGUUACCCAUCCGUUCCUUUCUCUACCACAAACAGUUUUUUUAAAAGAUUGACGGAUCUGGGGCCCCUGGCUGGCUCAGUCACUGGAGCGUGUGACUCUUGAUCUCUGGGUUCCAGCCCCACACUGGGUAUAGAGGUUACUUAAAUAUAUAUAUAUAUAUAUAUAUAUAUAUUACAUAAAUACAUAUAUAAGUAAAUAUAUAUAUUUACUUUAUAUGUAUAUUUACUUAUAUAUGUAUUUAUGUAAAAAAAAUAUAUAUAUACACAGAAUCUAAAAGGUUGAUGGAUUUGACUAUUAAAAUUUCUGUUCAUCAAAAGGCACCUAAAAAUGUAAAAUAGGCAGGGGCGCCUGCGUGGCUCUGUCGGUUGCGCGUGGGUCUCGAUUUCUGCUCCAGUCGUGAUCUCUAUGUUCAGUGAGAUCGAACCCUGUGUCCGUCUCUGCACUGACAGCGUGGAGCCAGUUGGAGUUUCUCUCUCCCUCUCUCUCUCUCUCUCUCUCUGCCCUUCACCUGCUCACUUGCUCUCUCUCUCUCAAAAUAAAUAAACUUAAUUUUUUUUAAUGUUUAUUUGUUUUUGAGAGAGAGGGAGCAUGAGUACGGGAGGGACAGAGAGAGAGGUGGCACAGAGGAUCCAAAGCAGGCUCUGUGCUGACUGCAGCUAGCCCGAUGUGGGGCUCGAACUCAGAACAGCGGGUUUAUGACCUGAGCCGGAGUCGGAGUCGGGCACUUAACCAACUGAGCCACCCAGGCACCCCUCAAAAUAAAUUAAUUUAAAAAAGGGUAAAAUACACCGAGGGGCACCUGACUGGCUCAGUCAGCAGAGUAUGCAACUCUUGAUCUCAAGCUCAUGAAUUGGAGUCCCACGUUAGGCAUAGAGACUACUUUAAAACAAUAGUAAUAAUAAUAAAGGUAAAACAGCAUUCCAAACAAGUCUCCUGCCUAGCAACCUAAGAGAAAGGAAAGCUCUGGUUGCCUUGAAGGCACCAUCCUGGCAGUCAUCCUAUGACGCGCAUCUCUGAAUAUCUGUGUCCACCGCUGAGCGUGGUUCCGUUUCUCUGGGUAUCCAUCUCUGAUCUCUAUGUCCACUCAUUUAUUCAACAAAUACUUGUCAAGGGCCUAUUUUAGUUUGUGCCAGGUUUAUAUUCCGAGUCAUUGGGUAAAAGGAACUACUGAAGUCCCUGCCCUCAUGGGGCUUACAUUCUGGUUAGAGAGACCGACAAUAAAAAGAAGUCAGAGAUAAACAGUGUUGCUGUGCCUGAGAAGAACAAGCUGGGCCAGCUGCUUUAUAUGGAAUGAGCAGGGACUUUGUCUUAUCUAGAACAGUGCCUGACUCAUAAUUGGGGCUCAGUAAAUGGUUUUUUGUUUUUAUUUUUGUUUUGUUUGUUUUUUGGGGGGCUCGGUAAAUGUUGAAUGAAUGCAUGGGUUGGUCUGAGAAGGUAACUCUCAGUCAAGGUGUGAAGGAUGAGGGUCAGCCACUCCAGACCCUGGGAAGAGUGUUCUGAGCAGAGGGAACAGCCUACGUUCAGUGGGUGGCCCCUUGCCUCUGGCUGUCUGCCCUGGAGUCUCCCUGUUUGCUGUGUCUCUGUUUCUCUUUGCUGUCUCCGUGAUCUUGGGAAUCGGAGGGCAGGUUUAAACAGCGGCCCUCCAGGGUCUCUGGAAGUGAAGUCACUGCCGAUCUGAUUCACCCCCUGGACUCUGACCUAACUAGCCUGGCCUGGCCAUUCCUCCUGGAAGCAGGCCCUCCCCGUGGCCACCUGAGUCCCACAGCCUCUGGCUCCUUCCCAGAGUAGCAUCCUGUAACCCGGCAGGAAGUCCCUCAUGCUAUCUAACCACAGUCCUGCCGAGGGAGCCCCGGCCCUUCCUCUCAUUCUGCCUUGCAGGCAGAGGAGUCCUGCCUGGACAGAGAACCCAGUAAAGACCUAACACAGUGGGACUAAUACCCUCCUGCAGCCCCAGGGAGGCGAACCUCAGAGGGGCCGAGUGAUAACUCAUCUCAGAAGCCUCUGCCACAGCCAUUUUUCUCACUGAGUCCUUCAACACCCCGUUUUACAGACAGAAAUUCCGGCAGGCCCAGAGAGGAAAACGGGGCAGAACUGGGACCAGAACCCAGAUCUCUUGUCAAAAUAGUAAUAAUCGUAACAACAAAUCCGUAUUGCUCAUUUACUCUCUGCCAGGUACUAUGCUGACGCUUGGCGUGAGUUUUCUUUUUUAAGACUUUUCACAAACCUACAAGGCGGAUACCAUUAUUAUUUCCAUUAUCCUCAGAGGAGGAGACUGAGGCUCAGAGCCGUCACGUGACUUGCCCAAGGACACCCAGAGUGUUGGUGGCAGAGCUGCGUGUGACACCAAGCAGUGUGGAGUGCCCAGGUACACACCCUGCGCCCCGGGGCCCCAGAGGAGUGUCACGGAUGUCUGUUUUCCAGGGAUCUGGGGAGACAGGCUUCAGGUUCAUCACAUGAUUGUCCCAAGGCUGACUGGUGCCGAGCCACGAUGAGCAGGAAGAUGUCCUGGGAACAAUGCACAGUCCCAUGUCCCUCUCUGUGCGUGAAGAUUCUCUACGUUUGCCUUCUCCCCUGGGAUCUCCAUGUUUCUGCCCCUCACUGCCCAAAUAAAGCAGUUUUCAC